rnacentral:pre_miRNA from 1 species
AGUAGAAUUGCUGGGUCAUAUGGCAUAUUCAACCUUUUGAAGAACUGCCAAACUGUUUUCCACGGUGGCCACGCCAUUUUAUAUCCCUACCAGCAAU